rnacentral:rRNA from 1 species
GACGAACGCUGGCGGCGUGCUUAACACAUGCAAGUCGAACGGAAAGGCCCUGCUUGCAGGGUACUCGAGUGGCGAACGGGUGAGUAACACGUGGGUGAUCUGCCCUGCACUUCGGGAUAAGCCUGGGAAACUGGGUCUAAUACCGGAUAGGAGCCAUUUUUAGUGUGAUGGUUGGAAAGUUUUUUCGGUGUAGGAUGAGCUCGCGGCCUAUCAGCUUGUUGGUGGGGUAAUGGCCUGCCAAGGCGGCGACGGGUAGCCGGCCUGAGAGGGUGGACGGCCACAUUGGGACUGAGAUACGGCCCAGACUCCUACGGGAGGCAGCAGUGGGGAAUAUUGCACAAUGGGCGCAAGCCUGAUGCAGCGACGCCGCGUGGGGGAUGACGGCCUUCGGGUUGUAAACUCCUUUCGCUAGGGACGAAGCUUUUUGUGACGGUACCUAGAGAAGAAGCACCGGCUAACUACGUG